rnacentral:rRNA from 1 species
AUUGAACGCUGGCGGCAGGCCUAACACAUGCAAGUCGAGCGGAGCGGCGGACGGGUGAGUAAUGACUAGGUAUCUGCCUGUUCGUGGGGGAUAACGUCCGGUCACGGACCCUAAUACCGCAUCCUUUCAGCUGACCCUAGGUGGGAUUAGCUAGUUGGUGGGGUAAAGGCCUACCAAGGCGACGAUCCGUAACUGGGCUGAGAGGAUGAUCAGCCACACUGGAACUGAGACACGGUCCAGACUCCUACGGGAGGCAGCAGUGGGGAAUAUUGGACAAUGGGCGAAAGCCUGAUGCAGCCAUGCCGCGGGUGUGAAGAAGGUCUUCGGAUUGUAAAGCACUUUAAGUUGGGAGGCGUUACCAACAGAGUAAGCACCGGCUAACUUCGUGCCAGCAGCCGCGGUAAUUC